rnacentral:rRNA from 1 species
AUUGAACGCUGGCGGCAGGCCUAACACAUGCAAGUCGAGCGGUAACAGGGGUAGCUUGCUACCCGCUGACGAGCGGCGGACGGGUGAGUAAUGCAUAGGAAUCUGCCCGAUAGUGGGGGAUAACCUGGGGAAACCCAGGCUAAUACCGCAUACGUCCUACGGGAGAAAGGGGGCUCCGGCUCCCGCUAUCGGAUGAGCCUAUGUCGGAUUAGCUGGUUGGUGAGGUAACGGCUCACCAAGGCGACGAUCCGUAGCUGGUCUGAGAGGAUGAUCAGCCACAUCGGGACUGAGACACGGCCCGAACUCCUACGGGAGGCAGCAGUGGGGAAUAUUGGACAAUGGGGGGAACCCUGAUCCAGCCAUGCCGCGUGUGAAGAAGGCCCUCGGGUUGUAAAGCACUUUCAGUGAGGAAGAACGCCUGGUGGUUAAUACCCAUCAGGAAAGACAUCACUCACAGAAGAAGCACCGGCUAACUCCGUGCCAGCAGCCGCGGUAAUACGGAGGGUGCGAGCGUUAAUCGGAAUUACUGGGCGUAAAGCGCGCGUAGGUGGCUUGAUAAGCCGGUUGUGAAAGCCCCGGGCUCAACCUGGGAACGGCAUCCGGAACUGUCAAGCUAGAGUGCAGGAGAGGAAGGUAGAAUUCCCGGUGUAGCGGUGAAAUGCGUAGAGAUCGGGAGGAAUACCAGUGGCGAAGGCGGCCUUCUGGACUGACACUGACACUGAGGUGCGAAAGCGUGGGUAGCAAACAGG